rnacentral:rRNA from 1 species
CCUACGGGUGGCAGCAGUGAGGAAUAUUGGUCAAUGGGCGCGAGCCUGAUCCAGCCACGUAGCGUGAAGGAUGACUGCCCUACGGGUUGUAAACUUCUUUUAUAAAGGAAUAAAGUGAGGCACGUGUGCCUUUUUGUAUGUACUUUAUGAAUAAGGAUCGGCUAACUCCGUGCCAGCAGCCGCGGUAAUACGGAGGGUCCGAGCGUUAUCCGGAUUUAUUGGGUGUAAAGGGAGCGUAGAUGGGUUGGUAAGUCAGGUGUGAAAGGUUGCGGCUCAACCGUAAAAUUGCAAUUGAUACUGGCAGGCUUGAGUACAGGUGUGGUAAGCGGAAUUCGUGGUGUAGCGGUGAAAUGCUUAGAUAUCACGAAGAACUCCGAUUGCGAAGGCAGCUUACUAAACUGCCACUGACAUUGAUGCUCGAAGGUGUGGGUAUCAAACAGGAUUAGAUACCCCUGUAGUC